rnacentral:rRNA from 1 species
CCUACGGGAGGCAGCAGUGGGGAAUAUUGGACAAUGGGGGGAACCCUGAUCCAGCCAUGCCGCGUGUGUGAAGAAGGCCCUCGGGUUGUAAAGCACUUUCAGUGAGGAAGAACGCCUGGUGGUUAAUACCCAUCAGGAAAGACAUCACUCACAGAAGAAGCACCGGCUAACUCCGUGCCAGCAGCCGCGGUAAUACGGAGGGUGCGAGCGUUAAUCGGAAUUACUGGGCGUAAAGCGCGCGUAGGUGGCUUGAUAAGCCGGUUGUGAAAGCCCCGGGCUCAACCUGGGAACGGCAUCCGGAGCUGUCAAGCUAGAGUGCAGGAGAGGAAGGUAGAAUUCCCGGUGUAGCGGUGAAAUGCGUAGAGAUCGGGAGGAAUACCAGUGGCGAAGGCGGCCUUCUGGACUGACACUGACACUGAGGUGCGAAAGCGUGGGUAGCAAACAGGAUUAGAUACCCGAGUAGUC